AUACUUACCUGGCAGGCUAGAUACCAUGGUCAUGAAGGUGGUUGCCCCAGGGCAAGGCUCAUCUAUCGCACUCCAGAUAUGCUGGCCUCUGUGACUUCUCCAAAUGUGGGAAACUGGACUAUGGUGUUUUCC
ensembl:snRNA U1 U1 spliceosomal RNA